GUGUGUAAGCUCAGAGGCCAGAGUGAGGUAAACUAAGUGAGGUAACUUUAAGCACACAGACUCACAACACACAGUGCGUGCUGCAGGAACCCCGGCUGCUCUGACACUCCGCACGGCAGUUCCCUGUGCCGCUCCGGGAAAAUAAUGACUUGGGUAAGGAACAGUUAAUAAGAAAAUGUGCCUCGCUAACCGUGCACAGAACAACAAAGAGCUGGCAGCCCCUGAAGGAAAAGGGCUUGUGCGGCUGCCGUUCAAACUUGUCAGUCAACUCCUGCCAACAGCCUCAGCGUCUGCCUCCCCAGCACACCCUCAUUACAUGUGUCUGUCUGGCCUCGUCUGUGCCUCAGCGCAGAGACGCUCCUGACAAGCCGGGGCUCUCUUCCUUUCUCCCUGGUGCAAAGAGCGGAUUUCUCUCCACGUCUCUUCUGUCACCUCUCCCUCCUCUCUCCAAGGAGGCACCUUGAUUUAUGGUAGCUUGGGACUUCCUUCAGCAUCUGCCUGUCCUUGACUUCUAGAAUGGAAGAAGCUGAGCUGGUGAAGGGAAGACUCCAGGCCAUCACAGAUAAAAGAAAAAUACAGGAAGAAAUCUCACAGAAACGUCUGAAAAUAGAAGAAGAAAAAUCGAAACACCAACAUCUCAAGAAAAAAGCCUUGAGGGAGAAAUGGCUCCUCGACGGAAUCAGCAGUGGGAAAGAACAGGAAGAGAUGAAGAAGCAAAACCAACAAGACCAACACCAGACCCAGGUUCUAGAGCAAAGUAUCCUCAGGCUUGAGAAAGAGAUCCAAGACCUUGAAAAGGCUGAACUGCAAAUCUCAGCCAAUGAGGAGGCAAUUCUAAAGAAGCUAAAAUCGAUUGAGAGGACGACGGAGGACAUAAUAAGAUCUGUGAAGGUGGAAAAGGAAGAAAUCCCAGAAGAGUCAAUUGAGGAUAUCUAUGCUAAUAUUCCUGACCUUCCAAGUUCCUACGUCCCUUCCAGAUUAAGAAAGGAAAGACAUGAAGACCAAGAUGAUGAUGAACAAGACAGAAAAGCUUUGUAUGCCAUGGAAAUUAAAGUUGAAAAGGAUUUGAAGACUGGAGAAAGUAUUGUUCUGUCUUCAAUACCCCUCCCAUCAGAUGACUUUAAAAGCACGGGAAUAAAGGUAUACGAUGAUGGGCAGAAGUCCGUCUAUGCCGUCAGCUCCAAUCAGAACACGACCUACAAUGGCACUGAUGGCCUUGCCCCUGUCGAAGUGGAGGAUCUUCUAAGACAAGCCUCAGAGAGGAACUCUAAGUCACCCACAGAGUACCACGAGCCCGUAUAUGCCAAUCCAUUUUGCAGGCCUCUGACCCCACAGAGAGAAAGAGUAAGCCCUGGACCAAACUUUCAAGAAAGGAUAAUGAUGAGAGCUAACGGACUGGCCAACCAUGCAAAUGAAUCCAUGCACAAUCUGAACGAUGGGCUUUCAGAGGGGAGAAGCAAUGGUCCCUCUCACACCAGCCCUACUCGGCCAACACCUCAGCCCCGAUCAACGGUUCAGCAAGCAGAAGAGAUGGUCCACACCCAGCAAAAGAGGGAGGGGACUCCCUGGGAAGAAUCAAACACCAGGCAGAACCAACAUGAGGUUUCUCCCAGGACAGGACUGAGCCCCCACAGAGCGAGUCCUGGGACAUCAGGACCUCGGGGAUCUUCACCCACUUGCCAGGAGGAGGCUGAAGAUGUAAGAUACAACAUCGUUCAUUCUCUGCCUUCCGAUGUGGAUGACGCAGAACCGGUGACGAUGAUUUUCAUGGGGUAUCAGCAGGCAGACGACAAUGAGGGAGAAAAGAAGCUUUUGACGGGGUACGACGGGGUCAUCCAUGCCGAGCUGGUCGUGAUCGAUGAUGAGGGGGAGGAGGAUGGAGGACAAGCCGAGAUGCCAUCCUACCAUCCCGUAGCUCCCUGUAGUCAGGUUUACCAGCCAACCAAACCAACCCCGCUUCCUAGAAAGAGAUCAGAAGUUAGACCUCAUGAAAACACAAACCAUAAAUCUCCCCACAAAAAUUCCAUAUCUCUGAAAGAGCAAGAGGAACGCCUAGGCAGCCCUGCCCACCACUCUCCCCCGGGCGUCCCAAUGGCUGGAGAUGGGACUGAGGAUCCGUCCUUAACAGGGGCCACAAAACCCAAGAGCGGCCCUUCAUGAAGCCUUGCCUGCUGCCUCUUCUGCUGUGGGAUUGCAGGCUGCUCCUCAGAGGUCUCCACCCAGCAGCUCCCAGCACCAGAGCCCAGCCUGCUGACUGAGCAAAGGAAAAUCUCUCAACACAUCCUGAAGUCAAAGGAAUAUUCUUGGUCUUGCGGGUGGAAGUGAUCAUUCCUCUUUGCUUUCAGAGGGAAAUCAUGCUUUUUACCUUCCUUGAAAUGAAACUAUCUCACAGAGUUAACUAGCACAACAACGAACAUGGCCUCAGGACAGAAGCAGGUCCCCAUCUCUUCUUAGAUUUUUACAAAAGGCCUUUAGGAGUUAGAAUCAUUCCUUUGGUUAAAAGAUAAUAACGUUUGCCAUAGAGAUGAGGGGGAAAAAACAGGUCUUCCCUUUUAUUGUUUCAUUAAAACAAAAUUGUACAAUUAGUUAAAUGGCUGCUUCUUGGGCCGUUUUACACAUGAAUGUAAUAUUACAUAAUUAAUAUAAUCAUUUGCCCAGUGCCUUGAAAGCAUCUUUUAACUUUUGGAACAUGACUGAGGCAGCUAUACUCAAAGGUCCUAAAGAUUAAGGCAUGAUACCAGGACGCCAAAGGAAUGCUAUAAAUUCUACACCCACGUUUUCUAAAAAUGUUUUCUACGGCCAACUCUUCAUCAGCGGUAGGACAUACUCAGAGAGACACCUGCCACUCGAAAGCAUAAUCACACAUCCAUGCCCAAUUAUUAGUUCACGUUGUUUCAUACAGACACUUACGCUUGUCAUUGCUUAUCCUUUGGCCAACCAAGCUUAAUGAGAUUUUUUUUUACAAUACUUAAUCACUAGAUAUAGUUUAAGCGUUAGUAUCUUUUUUGGUUCGGUGGUACAUAGUUAAGAAUGUGCACAACAUUGGUGUAAAGGAAUAGAUAUCUAGGCUGGCACCCAUCUGUACUGUGCGCCCUGCUCCUCCUCUGACCUUUGUAGACGUAGGCUCCUCCUAGCUCUCCACCUACUCCUGUCCUACGUUAACCACGGCUCAUUAUUUCUAUCUUUUUAUGCUACUAUGACAAUGCUCACGCUGUUGGAUAAAACCAUCUGAGCUUUAAGGAUAAGAAUGGCAAAGCUGGGGAAAAAGGUCAUCUGAGAGGCUUAGUGCCCACCUGAAGAACCUUUG